CCUACGGGAGGCUGCAGUGGGGGAUAUUGCACAAUGGGGGGAACCCUGAUGCAGCGACGCCGCGUGGGGGAAGAAGGGCCUCGGCGCGGAAAGCCCUGUCAGCAGGGAAGAAAAUGACGGUACGUGAAGAAGAAGCCCCGGCUAACUACGUGCCAGCAGCCGCGGGAAUACGUAGGGGGCAAGCGUUAUCCGGCUUUACUGGGUGUAAAGGGGGCGCAGACGGCGAUGCAAGCCAGGAGGGAAAGCCCGGGGCCCAACCCCGGGACUGCUCUUGGAACUGCGUGGCUGGAGUGCAGGAGGGGCAGGCGUACUUCCUGGUGUCGCGGUGAAAUGCGUAGAUAUCAGGAGGAACACCGGUGGCGCAGGCGGCCUGCUGGACUGCAACUGACGUUGAGGCCCG
rnacentral:rRNA from 1 species